GACGAACCGUGCGAACGUUGUUCGGAUUCACUGGGCUUAAAGGGCGCGUAGGCGGCUUGCCAAGUCUGGUGUGAAAUCUCAGGGCUCAACCCUGAAACUGCACUCGAUACUGCUCUGCUUGAGGACUGGAGAGGAGACUGGAAUUCACGGUGUAGCAGUGAAAUGCGUAGAUAUCGUGAGGAAGACCAGUGGCGAAGGCGGGUCUCUGGACAGUCCUGACGCUGAGGCACGAGGCCAGGGGAGACAACGGG
rnacentral:rRNA from 1 species